rnacentral:rRNA from 1 species
CCUACGGGAGGCAGCAGUAGGGAAUCUUCCACAAUGGACGAAAGUCUGAUGGAGCAACGCCGCGUGAGCGAUGAAGGCCUUCGGGUCGUAAAGCUCUGUUGUUAGGGAAGAACAAGUACCGGAGUAACUGCCGGUACCUUGACGGUACCUAACCAGAAAGCCACGGCUAACUACGUGCCAGCAGCCGCGGUAAUACGUAGGUGGCAAGCGUUGUCCGGAAUUAUUGGGCGUAAAGCGCGCGCAGGCGGUUCCUUAAGUCUGAUGUGAAAGCCCCCGGCUCAACCGGGGAGGGUCAUUGGAAACUGGGAAACUUGAGUGCAGAAGAGGAAAGUGGAAUUCCAAGUGUAGCGGUGAAAUGCGUAGAGAUUUGGAGGAACACCAGUGGCGAAGGCGGCUCUCUGGUCUGUAACUGACGCUGAGGCGCGAAAGCGUGGGGAGCGAACAGGAUUAGAUACCCUGGUAGUCCACGCCGUAAACGAUGAGUGCUAAGUGUUAGAGGGUUUCCGCCCUUUAGUGCUGCAGCAAACGCAUUAAGCACUCCGCCUGGGGAGUACGGCCGCAAGGCUGAAACUCAAAGGAAUUGACGG